UGGGGAAUAUUGCACAAUGGGCGCAAGCCUGAUGCAGCCAUGCCGCGUGUGUGAAGAAGGCCUUCGGGUUGGAAAGCACUUUCAGCGGGGAGGAAGGCGAUAAGGUUAAUAACCUUGUCGAUUGACGUUACCCGCAGAAGAAGCACUAGCUAACUCCGUGCCAGCAGCCGCGGUAAUACGGAGGGUGCAAGCGUUAAUCGGAAUUACUGGGCGUAAAGCGCACGCAGGCGGUCUGUCAAGUCGGAUGUGAAAUCCCCGGGCUCAACCUGGGAACUGCAUUCGAAACUGGCAGGCUAGAGUCUUGUAGAGAGGGGUAGAAUUCCAGGUGUAGCGGUGAAAUGCGUAGAGAUCUGGAGGAAUACCGGUGGCGAAGGCGGCCCCCUGGACAAAGACUGACGCUCAGGUGCGAAAGCGUGGGGAGCAAACAGG
rnacentral:rRNA from 1 species